rnacentral:misc_RNA from 1 species
CAUUCUUCAAUUAAAGAGGCACCUAAUUUUUCCUGUGUUCCCAUGGAAACAAAGGGUGGCCAAAAUCACCAUCAACAAGAAUCCCCCACCUUCUUGAAUCCUCCCCCAAAACCAGAGCCCAACAACAAGACCCCUGCAGAGAUCAAGGAUUUUCAAAUUAUGAUUGCAAAUAAAGAUGAUACCAAGAAGCAACUAGCACCCAAAAGAAGCUCCAACAAAGACAGGCACAAGAA